GACAGAGGUGCCAAGCGUUAGGCGGGAUCACUGGGCUUAAAGCGUGUGUAGGUGGAUGUCUAAGUACCUUGUGAAAUCCCAUGGCUCAACCAUGGAACUGCUCGGUAUACUGGACGUCUUGAGCCACUUAGGGGCUACCGGAACAAAUGGUGGAGCGGUGAAAUGCGUAGAUAUCAUUUGGAACGCCAAUGGUGAAAACAGGUAGCUGGGAGUGUGCUGACACUGAGACACGAAAGCCAGGGGAGCGAACGGG
rnacentral:rRNA from 1 species